CAAACUGUCAAUCAAAUUAGGGAAAAACAACGAUGAAGACGUGCAGAAACAAAAAAACGAUCAAUUUUCUAAUCGAUUAAUCGUCAGUAAAAUGUCAUCUUGUCAUUUUGAGUUUGAUGGAAAGAUGAUUGUUCAACUAACCGUCCAGAAACUCAAAGAUAAACAUUUAUCAGUGUUCUGUACUUUUGUAUCUGGUGGAUGUGCAGUUAUAUUUUAAUUAUCACAUUAAAACGGCACACGUCGCUCUUCAGGUGCAAAUGUUUAAAAAUGAACGAAAUCCAAACUGAAGUUACGAGAGAAAUAUGAAGAAUACAUGAAAACGGAUUCAAACAGCUCGUUUUACAAAUCUGAAUGUUCCUUAAAAUGAAUUCAAACCUGUGAACGGAGUUUUGUUUCAUGUCACUGAAAUAAAAGUUUGAAGACGCUGUAACUGUAGUUUGAAUUUGAACUAUCGGAGCGCGCUUCAUUCAUCCGGUUACAAGAAUUCACGACAUCGUUUAGUUUUUUAAAAAUAUCAAAAACGCCACAAAACUAUUUCCUGUCAGACAUUCAUCAUUGUAAAACUAUUGUUACAUUUACAAACAGUAAAAAGUUUCUCAAUAUUAAUAAUAAUUAUACAGCCAUUUGAAAAAGACAAAGGUUCAACCGUUGGUGGAACAUUUAUCGAUUUGUUUAACGUGGAUCUAAAUAUGAACAAACAUGUUUCAUGUACGUUAUUUAAACGUUCUGAAAAUGUUCCACCAAAGUUAAAAAUGAUCUCAGAAACAAACAAACAUCGAUUGUCGUACCUAAACGUGAAGCAUUACCACUAACCUGCACUCAAAGUUUGUGACACUCAGAAGAACUUUAUAUAUUAAUUUCAGUAAUAAGACGUCUAAAAAUACUGUCAGCUUCAUCAUCGCGUACCCGACUCUGAGAAGCAGCGAGGCCAAGUCGUCUGUCAUCGUGUGCGUCUAACGAAGCGUUCUGUCUGAACGCAUGUAAAUAUUCCACACUGAAGUUAAAGUCAGCUCAUGUUUACAUUCAAACAUAUUUAAACCUACGGCCGACACAAUAUUUUUAUCUUCAACGACCAUGACAUGGCAGAUUAAAGGGCCGCGCUGUGAAAUCUGAUGAUUAAUUAAUUAGUGAUUUCUACAACCAACAAUCAAAGGAGAUUUACUGUAACGAGAAAAGUGAAUUCUGUUGUUUUCACUGAUCAAUGUGAAACGUGUUCAUGUCAGCGUGGUG